rnacentral:misc_RNA from 1 species
GAUGAAGAACGUAGCGAAAUGCGAUACUUGGUGUGAAUUGCAGAAUCCCGUGAACCAUCGAGUCUUUGAACGCAAGUUGCGCCCGAAGCCAUUAGGCCGAGGGCACGCCUGCCUGGGCGUCACACGUCGUUGCCCCCCCCAUCUACUCCUUCGGGAUUGCGGGGGGCGGAUGAUGGCCUCCCGUGCGCCUCGCCGCGCGGUUGGCAUAAAUGCCAAGUCCUCGGCGACGCACGCCACGACAAUCGGUGGUUGCGAAACCUCGGUUGCCCGUCGUGUGCGGUCGUCGCGCAUCGAGGGCUCGAAAAAAUUGCCGAGUUCCGGCCCGGCUUUCAACGCGACCCCAGGUCAGGCGGGGUUACCCGCUGAAUUUAAGCAUAUCAAUAAGCGGAGGA